rnacentral:misc_RNA from 1 species
AACGCACAUUGCGCCUAUUAGUAUUCUAGUAGGCAUGCCUGUUCGAGCGUCAUUAAGUCCACAUUAAGCCUUGUUGCUUAGCGUUGGGAAUUUAUAGAGAUAUAAUUCCUCAAACUUAGUGGCAGAAGUGGAUCACACUCUGAGCGCAGUAAUUUUUAUCUCGCUUUUGUAGUUGGCCUGCUUUUCGCCGUUAAACACCUUUUUUUUGGUUGACCUCGGAUCAGGUAGGAAUACCCGCUGAACUUAA